UGGGGAAUAUUGCACAAUGGGCGCAAGCCUGAUGCAGCCAUGCCGCGUGUGUGAAGAAGGCCUUCGGGUUGUAAAGCACUUUCAGCGAGGAGGAAGGUGGUGAGCUUAAUACGCUCAUCAAUUGACGUUACUCGCAGAAGAAGCACCGGCUAACUCCGUGCCAGCAGCCGCGGUAAUACGGAGGGUGCAAGCGUUAAUCGGAAUUACUGGGCGUAAAGCGCACGCAGGCGGUUUGUUAAGUCAGAUGUGAAAUCCCCGGGCUCAACCUGGGAACUGCAUUUGAAACUGGCAAGCUAGAGUCUCGUAGAGGGGGGUAGAAUUCCAGGUGUAGCGGUGAAAUGCGUAGAGAUCUGGAGGAAUACCGGUGGCGAAGGCGGCCCCCCUGGACGAAGACUGACGCUCAGGUGCGAAAGCGUGGGGCAGCAAACAGGAUUAGAUACCCUGGUAGUCCAGCGCUGUAAAACGAUGUCGAUUUGGAGGUUGUGCCCUUGAGGCGUGGCUUCCGGAGCUAACGCGUUAAAUCGACCGCCUGGGGAGUACGGCCGCAAGGUUAAAAC
rnacentral:rRNA from 1 species